rnacentral:rRNA from 1 species
UACGUAGGGGGCAAGCGUUGUCCGGAAUCAUUGGGCGUAAAGAGCGUGUAGGCGGUUCGGUAAGUCGGCUGUGAAAGUCCAGGGCUCAACCCUGGGAUGCCGGUCGAUACUGCCGGACUAGAGUUCGGAAGAGGCGAGUGGAAUUCCCGGUGUAGCGGUGAAAUGCGCAGAUAUCGGGAGGAACACCUAUGGCGAAGGCAGCUCGCUGGGACGUUACUGACGCUGAGACGCGAAAGCGUGGGGAGCGAUCCGG